rnacentral:tRNA from 1 species
GGGGUUGUAGUCUAGAGGAUCUAAAGAUUCUCUUAGACCGGAAAAAUUGGUAUGAACCCUCGAGAACCCCCUCGCUGGGUACAAUUCCUGCCUGGGGCGCAGGCGGUCCCGAGUUCAAGUCUCGGCAACCCCACCA